CUGGGCUGCAGAGGCGGGACCAGAGAAUGACAAAAGACGGGAAAUAGUGCUACCAGCUCCAAGUCUGGACCAGCUCCGACUCUUCCCGAGGACAAGAUUGUCACUGUGAGGAACUUCACCUCCUGACCAAAGAGCAAGGACUCAGGCCAUUGGCAGUCCAACUUUCUGAUUACAUUCCCUAUGUACCAAGAUAGCAUCCGGAUGUGGGAUCAAGCUGACAGCUUCCACCUUCAAGGCGUGUGUGAGCAGUCUGAGAAGUUCAACUUUAAAACCACCAAUACAGACUGAAGAGAGACGUUAGAGGGGGCACUCCCCAAGGCAAAUGAGGGCCCUGAGGGCCUCCGCUCCUCAGAACGCGACACUGGCUUUGAGACCUGGUUUCAGCUACAGUUCUGACCACCACCACCAUGGUGGCCACAAUCCGACCUCCCUUCCUGCCUUCUUCAAGGAACUAGAAAAAGGAAUUAAGUGACGUGGCCAGAAACUCUAGGAUUCUUAGGCUCAGAAGCCCCCAGAUAGGGAGAAAAGACCCACCCCCACACAAAUCUGUCACACAGUCAGACCAGAGGAAGCAUGAGAGCUCACUGAAGAAGGUGUGGGGACUGCUUUGGUUGGGCACCCCUGUAAAAAGCCCCAGCAGAGCCCAGCGUCGGAACAGGCUUAGCUUGAGAACUGGGGCCUGGAGGUCCGGCACGACAGAUGACUAGCUCUGGUCCAUCGUUUCGGCGGUGAAGAGGCCAGUCUCCCAACAUCCCGGCGCAGAGGGCCUCGUCGCCAACCGGUGAGGCAGGAGCAGCCAGGCCCAGCCGAUUGGAAAGACAGACAGACACGGGGCAAAGACGCAGGCCCGCGUCGCCCUCCGCGCAGCAGCACUGCCCUAAGACCCCCGCGUCCGGGGGCGCAGGCCGAAUGGCGUGGACGGCGAAGCCCGGGCCUGCGCGACGCCCCCACAUUUCCCGUCCCCGAGUGCCGUACCUGCUCCUCCGCAGCCGUCGCUCGAUGGCGCCGGGGCCGCGCUCUGCGUUGCGCUCCGGCCCGCGCGGCUGCCAUGGAGACGGGCCUUUGUGUGGCCGAGGAGGGGCCGGAGCGCGCGGGAGCUGCCGGCCCCGCCCCCGCCAGGGGAGAAGGAGGGCGGGGAGGACCGGGGCGGGCAAGAGGGAGGGACGAGACGAAGGGGUAGAGGGUGGGAAGGAGGGGCGGCUGGCGUCCCUAGCGUACCCCGUGUUUCCUAAGCACACCGCUUUGCUUGGAGGUUCGCGCCCUGUAGCAAUCCGCGCUCCCUGCCGGCUGCAGUCCUGUCUCCCGUCCCCCCCGACCCCACGCCCCGCACCUCCCUCUGCCCCGUCAUCGGUGGAGUUCGCUCAGGCUGGGCACCACCCCGGGAGUGCCCCAGGCCGAACUGAAUGGCGCACGCGGCCCGGCACCAGUGGGUGGCUUCGGCUGGGCCAGACCCAGGCCUCAAGUGUCCUCUUUGAGAUGGGCGGGGCGCAGGGAACCGCACCACUAGAUUGGCAACAGGCGGACCACGCGCUCAUCCCUUUCCCGAGGGCAUCUCCUCCCCAGCUUUGGGAAUCUGCCUCAAUUCUAUGCCCUCCCCAACUUGAAAACUUCACAAAUCUGAGGACUUCACUGUUUAAGGAAGUUGAACUUGCCCCAUCUCUAAGCAGCCAAGCUUGAAUGAAUCACCUUCUCCCCUCCACCAGCAACACUUCCCCACCCACCCACACACAUACAAGGGACUCCAAAAUAUCCAGUGAUUUCAACACUACCCCCCAACACACACACACACACACAACUCCAAAAUAUUCAGUAACAGGGGCUGCAAACUUUGUAUCAAAAAUAUUAAAAGACAAGUAUUGUAUAACAAAGAUAUUUUAAUAACAAAGUUGUGGGAAGGCCAGUAUUCUGAAAUGAGUAGGGCUCAAAAUAGAAGGCAGGAAGCUGGAGGGUAAAAGAGUCCUCCUAUCCUUCCGGUCUGUCCCAGGGGCUGGCUGCCUCAUGACCUCCACCCAACCCUCCUAGAUCCCCUGAAUGCUGGCUCACUGCUCUCUCCAACUUGCCACACAAGGGAGCUCUGGGGAUCACAGCCUCCAGGAUUAGUUUUUCACUAUCCAGGCAUCUAAACUGUAAGGGCCCUUUGGGUUGGGGGAGGGGAGCACCUUUUUGGAGCCAUCUGUCUCUUCUUCCCUCCAGGCUCUCUGCCCUUGGCAGGGAUGGGAAGAGAUGGGCUUAAGCCUACUUUGGACAGAAGCUCCGCUAACUCCGCUGAGCCCAUCCUGGGAGUGCAGGAGUGGGAAAGGAUAUAGCUGGUAGAAGACCCCAGGCCGUACACUCUACCAAGUAACCUGGACAAGCCCCUCAAGGACACUGGAACUUUCCUCAUUCCUACGUAUCAGCCUUGGGUUCAUGUUCUAGGCAGCACUGUUAUACAUAGCCUUCUCCCCUCCUCUGCCCCAAAUCUGUCUGCUGAUUCCCAUGUCCAGAGGAUGACCAACUAACUGUCACGGCAGAAGCUGGUUAUGGUGGCCGAGGUCCAUGAGGGCCACCCUGAAGGUUAUUGUGUGACAGUUUUCAGAAAGUCAAGUGGAGACCACAAGAAACACAUUGCAGUGGUAUUUGAGAUGUGCAUUUUAGGAUGGAGCCGCUGAGGGGCUGGGGAUUUAGCUCAGUGGUAGAGCGCUUGCCUAGGAAGCACAAGGCCCUGGGUUCGGUCCCCAGCUCCGAAAAAAAGACCAAAAAAAAAAAAAAAAAAAAAAAAAGAAUUCUUAACAGUAG
ensembl:lncRNA